AUUGAACGCUGGCGGCAGGCCUAACACAUGCAAGUCGAGCGAGCGGCGGACGGGGGAGUAAUGUAUGGGAACUGCCCGAUAGAGGGGGAAAACUACUGGACACGGUAGCUAAUACCGCAUACUAACGGAUAACACAUAUGGGAUUCGCUAGUAGGUGAGGUAAUGGCUCACCUAGGCGACGAACCCUAGCUGGUCUGAGAGGAUGAUCAGCCACACUGUGACUGAGACACGGCCCAGACUCGUACGGAGGCAGCAGUGGGGAAUAUUGCACAAUGGGCGCAAGCCUGAUGCAGCCAUGCCGCGUGUAUGAAGAAGGCCCUAGGGUUGUAAAGUACUUUCAGUCGGGAGGCGUUACCGACAGAAGAAGCACCGGCUAACUCCGUGCCAGCAGCCGCGGUAAUAC
rnacentral:rRNA from 1 species